GGCUCAGGACGAACGCUGGCGGCGUGCCUAAUACAUGCAAGUCGAGCGGACAGAUGGGAGCUUGCUCCCUGAUGUUAGCGGCGGACGGGUGAGUAACACGUGGGUAACCUGCCUGUAAGACUGGGAUAACUCCGGGAAACCGGGGCUAAUACCGGAUGCUUGUUUGAACCGCAUGGUUCAAACAUAAAAGGUGGCUUCGGCUACCACUUACAGAUGGACCCGCGGCGCAUUAGCUAGUUGGUGAGGUAAUGGCUCACCAAGGCGACGAUGCGUAGCCGACCUGAGAGGGUGAUCGGCCACACUGGGACUGAGACACGGCCCAGACUCCUACGGGAGGCAGCAGUAGGGAAUCUUCCGCAAUGGACGAAAGUCUGACGGAGCAACGCCGCGUGAGUGAUGAAGGUUUUCGGAUCGUAAAGCUCUGUUGUUAGGGAAGAACAAGUACCGUUCGAAUAGGGCGGUACCUUGACGGUACCUAACCAGAAAGCCACGGCUAACUACGUGCCAGCAGCCGCGGUAAUACGUAGGUGGCAAGCGUUGUCCGGAAUUAUUGGGCGUAAAGGGCUCGCAGGCGGUUUCUUAAGUCUGAUGUGAAAGCCCCCGGCUCAACCGGGGAGGGUCAUUGGAAACUGGGGAACUUGAGUGCAGAAGAGGAGAGUGGAAUUCCACGUGUAGCGGUGAAAUGCGUAGAGAUGUGGAGGAACACCAGUGGCGAAGGCGACUCUCUGGUCUGUAACUGACGCUGAGGAGCGAAAGCGUGGGGAGCGAACAGGAUUAGAUACCCUGGUAGUCCACGCCGUAAACGAUGAGUGCUAAGUGUUAGGGGGUUUCCGCCCCUUAGUGCUGCAGCUAACGCAUUAAGCACUCCGCCUGGGGAGUACGGUCGCAAGACUGAAACUCAAAGGAAUUGACGGGGGCCCGCACAAGCGGUGGAGCAUGUGGUUUAAUUCGAAGCAACGCGAAGAACCUUACCAGGUCUUGACAUCCUCUGACAAUCCUAGAGAUAGGACGUCCCCUUCGGGGGCAGAGUGACAGGUGGUGCAUGGUUGUCGUCAGCUCGUGUCGUGAGAUGUUGGGUUAAGUCCCGCAACGAGCGCAACCCUUGAUCUUAGUUGCCAGCAUUCAGUUGGGCACUCUAAGGUGACUGCCGGUGACAAACCGGAGGAAGGUGGGGAUGACGUCAAAUCAUCAUGCCCCUUAUGACCUGGGCUACACACGUGCUACAAUGGACAGAACAAAGGGCAGCGAAACCGCGAGGUUAAGCCAAUCCCACAAAUCUGUUCUCAGUUCGGAUCGCAGUCUGCAACUCGACUGCGUGAAGCUGGAAUCGCUAGUAAUCGCGGAUCAGCAUGCCGCGGUGGAAUACGUUCCCGGGGCCUUGUACACACCGCCCGUCACACCACGAGAGUUUGUAACACCCGAAGUCGGUGAGGUAACCUUUUAGGAGCCAGCCGCCGAAGGUGGGACAGAUGAUUGGGGGUGAAGUCGUAACAG
rnacentral:rRNA from 1 species